AUGACUUUGAUCUCCGUCCUCAUCUGGACUCUCCUCUGCUGCUGCUUCACAGAGUCCAGAGGCCAGGUCACAGUGACUCAGCCUGCAGCUUUGACAUCUGCUCUGGGAGGAUCCACAACCAUCAACUGUAGGACCAGUCAGGAUGUUUAUGGAUAUUGUGGCAGUUCUUUUUCCGACCCCUGUUUAGCCUGGUACCAACAGAAAGAUGGAGAAGCUCCUAAACUCCUCAUUUACGGUGCUACCACUCCAGAAUCAGGGAUUCCAGAUCGUUUUUCAGGCAGUGGAUCAGACUCUGACUUCACUCUGACCAUCAGUGGAGUUCAGGCUGAAGAUGCAGCAGUUUAUUACUGUCAGAGUUAUCACUCUAUCAACAGUCAGGCUGUCUGGACAGGGGGAGGUGGAGCUGUGAUCGACAGCGGCGGUGAUGUCCGUCCCACCCUGACGGUGCUGCCCCCCUCCAGCGAAGAGCUGCAGCAGGGGAAGGCCACGCUCAUGUGUCUGGCCAACGAUGGCUUCCCCUCAGACUGGAGUCUGGCCUGGAAGGUGGACGGCAGCAGCAGCAGCAGCUUGGAGCAGAGCAGGAGCCCCGGGGUGCUGCAGAAGGACGGUCGCUACAGCUGGAGCAGCACCCUGAGGCUCCCUGCAGACCAGUGGAGGAAGGUGGGCUCUGUGACCUGUGAGGCCACCCAGGGCUCCCAGACUCCAGUCUCAGAGACACUGAGGAGAGACCAGUGUUCCCAGUCCUGA